rnacentral:rRNA from 1 species
CCCUUAGAUGUUCUGGGCCGCACGCGCGCUACACUGACGAUGGCAACGAGUUUUUCCUUCGCCGAAAGGUGUGGGUAAUCUUUUGAAACAUCGUCGUGCUGGGGAUAGAUCAUUGCAAUUUUUGAUCUUGAACGAGGAAUUCCUAGUAAGCGCGAGUCAUCAGCUCGCGUUGAUUACGUCCCUGCCCUUUGUACACACCGCCCGUCGCUACUACCGAUUGAAUGGUUUAGUGAGGACUCCUGAUUGGCGCCGCCGCCCCGGCAACGGAGCAGCGAACUGCCGAAAAGUUGUUCAAACUUGAUCAUUUAGAGGAAGUAAAAGUCGUAACA